rnacentral:lncRNA from 1 species
AUUCUCUGGCCAACGAACCACGAAAUGAUGAUCAGUAACCAUGAGAUUUGAGUAACCGCCGUACGUUGUGGUUCCAUCAUAGUACGUUGUACUAUAUGUGGCAAUGUGGCUAGGACAAUAUUGUUCGAGGUCAUUGGUACAAUUCUCACAUUUUUUACACUAUCCAACAAGUACUCCAACACCUACUUUGUCACCAAUUUUAACUUUCUCGACAUUGUUCUCACAUUUUUUACACGAUCCAACAAGUACUCCAACACCUACUUUGUCACCAAUUUUUACUUUCUCGACAUUGCUACCUACCUCAGUUACCACGCCCACAAUCUCGUGCCUGUGCAACAAAAGUAAGAGGCAAUAUAGUCAAUAUCUUUAGUUUUAAACUUCAUGUUAAGUCUACACUUCCUUCUAAAGGUGGACAGAAUCUUGGGCCGUCAAAUUUGGCCCAAGCCUAAAUGACAUGUUCAACCCGCCCAAAAUUAGGCUGAUCAUUUAUCAGCAUAUUUAAAGUUAAGCUGAUUUUUAGCCCAAAUUAAUUUAUGUUCAUAACUUUGCUAGAAUAUGUAAGAAUAAUCUUUUUUGUUUCAUAUGUUAUACAUGACCAUAAUAAAAAAGAAAGAAGUUUUUUUAGUAAUCAUACAAUUCAUAUUAAGUAAAAUUUGAUAAGAGUUGGACAUGUUGGACUGACUUAAAUUUUAGUUCAUCUUGACCUAGCACACCUUAGUCCAAGUAACAUUGACUCAACUUAUUUUGACCUGUUCAAAAUUGCUAAAACCGCUCAUUUGACAAUCCAUAGACAAUCUUACAAGUAAUGAUUGGGUAAAGUGCCAGUGCGUCUACUGGGAUUACACCCACUAAUAUUGAAAAUUGUUUUUUUGACAAUCGCUUUCCCUAUGGGCAAACCUAUAAAGUCAAAAAUGA